rnacentral:rRNA from 1 species
GACGUAGGGGGCAAGCGUUGUUCGGAAUUAUUGGGCGUAAAGCGCUCGUAGGCGGGACUGUAAGUCCGUGUUGAAAGACCUCGGCUCAACUGAGGGACCGGCUCGGAUACUAUAGUUCUUGAGGCAAUCAGAGGGUGAUGGAAUUCCCGGUGUAGCGGUGAAAUGCGUAGAUAGUCGGGAGGAACACCAGGUGGCGAAGGCGAAUCACCUGGGGUUGUUCGUGACGGCUGAGGGAGCGAAAAGCUAGGGGGAGCAAAACGGG